GAAAUCCCCGGGCUUAACCUGGGAAUGGCGUUUGAAACUGCGGAGCUGGAGUGUGGCAGAGGGRGGUAGAAUUCCACGUGUAGCGGUGAAAUGCGUAGAUAUGUGGAGGAAYACCGAUGGCGAAGGCAGCCUCCUGGGCCAACACUGACGCUCAUGCACGAAAGCGUGGGGAGCAAACAGGAUUAGAUACCCUGGUAGUCCACGCCCUAAACUAUGUCAACUAGUUGUUGGGGGAGUUAAAUCCCUUAGUAACGCASCUAACGCGUGAAGUUGACCGCCUGGGGAGUACGGUCGCAAGAUUA
rnacentral:rRNA from 1 species